rnacentral:rRNA from 1 species
UACGGAGGGUGCAAGCGUUACCCGGAAUCACUGGGCGUAAAGGGCGCGUAGGCGGCCGAUCAAGUCGGGGGUGAAAGCCUGUGGCUCAACCACAGAAUUGCCUUCGAUACUGUUUGGCUUGAGACCGGAAGAGGUAAGUGGAACUGCGAGUGUAGAGGUGAAAUUCGUAGAUAUUCGCAAGAACACCAGUGGCGAAGGCGGCUUACUGGUCCGGUUCUGACGCUGAGGCGCGAAAGCGUGGGGAGCAAACAGG